rnacentral:lncRNA from 1 species
UUUCCUUUCUGAGUGUAGAGCCAAGUGGACUGUUUUGUUUGGGGCGUGUGACCUGAAGCUCGCUCCACAUUGAUUUUAUCCGCUAUUGAUCACAGUUUAUUAUUUACGUUUAAAAAUACCUGAAGUUGGAUUAGGAAGGUUGUUUAAAAUGUUUGGGCCAAGUUUACAGGCCUCCAGUGCAUUGUUCCCUCCAGUGAGGCCUGGGGCAGGAGUACAGAGCCAGGAUCUGUAUUUGGAGUGUGGCUGCGAGAUCAAGGCCCCUGGGGGUUAAGGGGUGGGGGAGGUGGAUGAGAAUGGGAGGAUGGGGUGAUGACAGGAGAAGAGAGAGAGUGGGAACAGCGGCAGCAGAGGGAUUCUGGAUCACCUUCAAAGAGCUAUUGUCUCAAAUGGAGAGAUUGCAGAGAGAGAGAGAGUGAGAAUCUGAAGAAGGAAAAGGGAGAGAGUGGAUGAAAGAAGAUCAAGUUGGACUUGAACCAAGCACACGGUAGGCUAAGCAGCCUUGUAGAAGACAGCUUUCUUCCAAUCAGAAGACACAGAGACAUUGUGUCAAUUAAAUGGUAUGUGCUUAUGCCGUACUCAAACUCAGAGCCUCUUUGCUUGACAUCAUGGGAAAAUCAAAAGAAAUCAGCCAAGACCUCAGAAAAAAACUGUAGGCCUCCACAAG